rnacentral:rRNA from 1 species
GAUGAACGCUGGCGGCGUGCCUAAUACAUGCAAGUCGAGCGAAUGGAUUAAGAGCUUGCUCUUAUGAAGUUAGCGGCGGACGGGUGAGUAACACGUGGGUAACCUGCCCAUAAGACUGGGAUAACUCCGGGAAACCGGGGCUAAUACCGGAUAACAUUUUGAACCGAAUGGUUCGAAAUUGAAAGGCGGCUUCGGCUGUCACUUAUGGAUGGACCCGCGUCGCAUUAGCUAGUUGGUGAGGUAACGGCUCACCAAGGCAACGAUGCGUAGCCGAACUGAGAGGGUGAUCGGCCACACUGGGACUGAGACACGGCCCAGACUCCUACGGGAGGCAGCAGUAGGGAAUCUUCCGCAAUGGACGAAAGUCUGACGGAGCAACGCCGCGUGAGUGAUGAAGGCUUUCGGGUCGUAAAACUCUGUUGUUAGGGAAGAACAAGUGCUAGUUGAAUAAGCUGGCACCUUGACGGUACCUAACCAGAAAGCCACGGCUAACUACGUGCCAGCCGCCGCCGUAA